rnacentral:lncRNA from 1 species
UCAGAUACGACCUCCGCAAUCUACCGCCCUAGACCGCUGCUGAAAAAUCACCUCGCGACGGCGCCAGCCACCAAACCACCCCAAAUUCCCACCACAACCUCCUCUUCGCCCCCACAUCCUCAAUGCACAUUUACUUGCCUUCAAAUCUCAUUCAAUUCCCUCAAAUUUUGGAAAUCGUAGCGCCGCUCAAAUUUCUCCGGUGGCAGCGCCAACCCCAAACCCCAUCAAAAUCCAACCACGCAACCAUCACCCGUACCUGAAGUCCCAACCCAUCGCCGCUUCCCUCCAAAUCCUCACCAAAUUAGACUAUUUUCC